CAUUAACACUUUGUGAAUAAAUCAAUUAUGGGUAAAGGUAUACUAACAGGUAAUGGAGCCUUUUUAUUGUCGUGAUGAUUGAGGCAGAAUACUACAGAGAAAAUGCACUGGUAUUUUCAAGCAGAAGUGGAGUAUUUUUUUCCAAAACUGAACUCAUAAGCCUCAACAUUCAUAACUUUGACUGAGAAUUAGGCUCCUGAAAAAGAGUCUGAGACCCUUCUCAGAUUUUCCAUUACUAAGGAAUCAUCCUUACUUCAGCAGCCACUCAGGGAAAGCAGCUGGAGAGCUACAUUGUAUGUGACACUUUGGAAGUGUAGUUUUUCAGUGUUUAUCAACCACUGUAUUUUCAGCUUGAAGGUACCAAUGUUUCUGUGUCACACAAUAAAUUACAGAAUGUUUACACGCAAUUAGGUAUGUGCCUACGGAGGAGAAGACACUGGGAAACAGGAUUUUCCAGAGGCAGUAGCUAGUUUAGAAGCCCAGAGCCACUGCAGCAGCUAUUGUCAGGGAGGACUGAGUGGCAGUUCUAAUUACCAGUGUCUACACAGGUUUCUCAUAGGAAGAUACAAGCUGUCACGAUCCCUUGCCAAUCACAUGAGAACUGACCUAGGGAGAGCAUCAACUGAAGGAAAUGAGCUUUUCUCUAUGAAUAGGGAAUACAGGCAACUUGAACUCACAAGAAAGGAGUCAUAAAAUAUAUUAUUCAGUAUAAAAAAUGGAAGACUUCAGUUUAUGGAAAAGACACUGGGUUUGUGUCUGCUUCAGUGAAAGCUAAAAUACAAAUCUGUUCACUCUCCUUGAAAGAAAAGGUUGUCUCCUGACUGGAAAAUGAAGAGUCAAAGAGACCCGUGGCCUUUCUGCCCUUUACACUGAAAAGAAAAUGAACUGCCUUGUCAUAGGCUGAAUGUUGUCUUGGGUCACCAUCAAGAUCCUGACCUGCCUAACUGAUGUGACACAAGGAAAGAGGGAGCCCUUCUAAAGAAAGCCUACAAACACCCGCCUGAAGGCUCUUCUUGCUUCAGACCAGAUGGAUUUGCUGGCUGUUCUUGCUCAAAGUUAAUUUGUAAUCUACAAAACCAGUCUUCCAUUAAUAUACAGAAACAAAACCUAAAGAUGGGAGGUAGAAGUGGGUCAGUUAUUAUGACAAGUAAGAGGCUCAGACCUGCCACUGAAUAAAGAUGCUUUGUCAGGUUCUGAGAGCUGACUAGAUGAACUUAAAAUCUCAUUGCAGACAUGUGUGGGAAACCUGAGUUACCAGGUUCUUUAGUGUCUGCUACUGUAACCAGGAGGAAUACAGAGCCAUCUGAGCCCGUUGCACCCUGUGUGCAAUGUGACAGCCUUGCACAUGUGGGAGGGAGGGUAAGUGUGGAGAGAAGGGGAUGACGAAGGGUUUACUGGUGUAAACAACAACAGGGACACAGUGAGAGUUUUUGAACAAUCAUCCAUCGACAGCAUCUAGAGACCAGCCCGUAUCUUUAUUGGCUUUGCUCUUGCUGAAGGAACGUGGCCAAGUUUGUCUCGGCAUCUGAGCUAGUCUUCCUUGUCAAAGCCUUUUUUUUUUUGCUGGACAGAUAAGGCUCCAUUUAUAGCACACUUAAAAGCAACAGCUGAAGAGAACAGAGGCUUCACCACUUUGAUAUGCAAAAGACAACAAAUUUUAUGUAUAUAUGGGGGGGAGCUAAUCCUGCUCUCGCUGAAGCCUUCUGGAAGAUUCCCAGUGACUUUGCAGAGACUUUGAAUUACGGCCAGCUUUUGCUUUUUUGCCCUUUUUUUUGUUUGUUUCUUUUUUCCUGCCCCUGUAGCAAAACGUCAGGAAUAAAUAUUGUCAUUCAAAAUGGCACUGUGGUGUCUUGCAGCGCUGUGGUCCAGGCCCCUUUCCUCAGCAGCCUCCGAGGCAUGCCGGGGAGGUGCCAAAGCACUGUGAAGCAAGGCCACCAUCAGCUAUCAGACAAGCUGGUUUAUACAUUCAAAAGUCACAAAGAAUACAUAGAUUAAUUGGCUCAGUGAACUGCUAGGAAACCUGCAUGCUCAUUGCGAUGCAUGUCCUAGAGAAUAAGAUGUAAAAAGUCAUUUUAGGGAUAAUUGUAUUUCAUGUCUUCUGGAUAUGCCAGCUCAACGGCAAUAAAGCUAGCCAUCAGUGCUUUAUACUGGCUAACCAGAUCUGGUUUGGUUAUGCUGCCCUUGCCUCAGGAGGAGCUGGUGGCUUUACUGAGAGCUGGAGAGAAACCAAGUUUGGGAGUAGUGGCUGCAGGAAAAGCCUCUUAAAAGAAGUGUUGAAUUUUAAUGAAAGUGGCUCAUAAUGUGUAAGAGGGAGAAUGCUGUUAUGUCUAAGUGGACUUGCUUACAUGUCUAGCCUGGGAGCUGUUGUGAAGCCUCAUAGACUGUAUCGUGGGAUUCAGCUUGCCUCAAAACAGUGUUCUGGUAUAGUAGUCAGUCAUCUUUAUAUACCCAGCAUGUGCCUUUACAUAUAGAUAAGUAUACAUAUAUAUAUACACAUACAUACGUGUGUGUAUAAAUCAGUAGGUACAUACAUAUGCAUACAUGUGUACAUAUAUAUUUAUAGACAAAUUGCUUAGUAUUGAAUAAACAUGCUAUACCUAUGUAUGCAUACAUACAUAUGCAUGUAUGCCUAGGCUUCUAUACAUCUUUAUGAGAUAACCUAAAAAAGAACAAUCUGUAUAAUGUAGAUACAUAACAAAAUAUAAUAACUAUACAUAUUUAAGUACAUCUUGAGGCUUUGCAUAUAUACAAAUGUUUAUAUGGAACAGUUUUAUAGGUAUUGUACCUUUUCAGAUAAUACUGGGUAAGCCAGUUUAUAUAAUAUAGUCAAUAAUUGCAGCAAAGUUAUCCUCAUACAUGGGUGAAUCGAAAGAGACUGUCUCAGUGGCAUUGUGACCGGCUAGCCAAGAGGAUUUCCACAAGUAGUGCUUGGAAAUGUCCUUGGAGUGAUGGUCUUUGGCUUUAAAAAGUGGCCAGGCUGCCUCAGUGGGGUGGAGAGGGUUGUCAGGAGCAGCCCGGGGGGUGCAGCCAGCACCCAACACCCACAGCAUUUCUCACCCUCUGACAGCAAGUGGGGUUUAAACAUGUGAAUGUCAGCUUUAGGUAGGUUUGAAAGUUUAGAAAUGAAUCAUUUGAUAAUAGUCCUAUAUCCUAAAUGCUUCUAAUACGGUUAUUAUCACAUCAUUUAAGCAUCCAGAAUGAUACUAGGAAAUAUCAGUCUCCUGCCAAAAGAUUCUGAAGUGCAUUUUCUGGCUGCAGUGUUACGUUGCUUCCUGGGGCUACUAAGCCUUGAUGACUGUCUUCCAGACCUCAAAAGCAAUCCCCUUGGAUGUAGUUAUAUAUAUUUCAGAACACAACAAAUAAAAACACAAUGAGGCUCUUUCUCCAUGUUGAUACUUUCUUCAACCUUUCUACUGAGGAUUUCCAACUGCAUUUGUCAUUGUGCGGUAAGGGCUCUGAAUGAAUUUAUUGAUGGUAGCUGGGAAAAAAAAGGGCAAAAAUAAAGGAAAUCCCUCGAGGGAGCAGUCACCACAGGUGAAAUCCCUCCUAGCAGCUGGCUUAUGAAAUAAUGCGAGGGGAGGCCUUAAUGAGCUGAAAGCACCCUCAGCUGGAGAUAAAUAUAUGCAAAUGAGAUGCACAAACAAAGGAGCCCGGACAGAGAAAUAUCUGCAAUUCCAGCAAAAUGCUGCCUGCAGCUAGAAGAUGAACAGCUUUGAUAAAAUGCAGGAUAAGAAACCACGGCAGAAAGUAUUCACUUCGCUGAAGGAGCUUUCCCUUUCCUUUGGCUGCAAAAACUCACCGAGUGCUCUUAAUACAAAAGUAAUGGCAAGAGUGUGAUCUGAAGAGCCAGCCUGCUAUCAGCUGAAUUUCAAUGGAGGCUCUCUCAAAAAAUAGGUACAAAGAAAAGAAUUUAGACAAAUUUGCCUCUUAACCUUUAAAGAUUUCCUGCCUAUUCCAGUAUGUCCUUUAUUACAUUAAUUUUUUAUUUAAAUUACACCAUUAACUGGAUAUGAAUUUAUCAAGAAUACAUAUAUUGAUUUAUAAAACAGUAUCAUUAAUUAUUAUAAUAGCUAGAUGUAGCUGAUAUUACAAAGCCAUUUAAAGGUUUUUAAUAUAACUUGGACAUACAUAGAUAGAUAGACAUUAUGGACAAGACUACAAUUUAAAUUGGCUACCAGCAGUUAAUGAAAUCCGUGAUUUAUCUUCUCGUUUAGAGAUUGAUUAUAUUGUUGCUUUGUAAAACUAUUUAUUUUAUGCCAUUUUUCAAAGGAUGUCUUAAUAAAAGGAAAAAAAUAAAUAAAAUAUCCAGGCGAGUUUCAAAGUGUAUUUUGGUUUAUACGUUCUUUUUUAAUGCUGCUACUGUUAAUUUAUUGCAAGUUGGGUAACUUGUCACCUUUACGAAGAAUUG